rnacentral:rRNA from 1 species
GCCGCGUGAGGGAAGAAGGCCUUCGGGUCGUAAACCUCUGUCAGAAGGGAAGAAACCCUUGAGGUCGAAUAGGCUUCUUGGCUGACGGUACCUUCAGAGGAAGCACCGGCUAAUUCCGUGCCAGCAGCCGCGGUAAUACGGAAGGUGCAAGCGUUAAUCGGAAUCACUGGGCGUAAAGCGCACGUAGGCGGCGCGGACAGUCAGAUGUGAAAGCCCUCGGCUCAACCGAGGAAUUGCAUUUGAUACUUCCGUGCUCGAGUACUGGAGAGGCAGGCGGAAUUCCAGGUGUAGGAGUGAAAUCCGUAGAUAUCUGGAGGAACACCAGUGGCGAAGGCGGCCUGCUGGACAG